rnacentral:rRNA from 1 species
GACAUGAAGUUAGGUCAGCAAACCCGCUGAAUUUAAGCAUAUAAGUAAGCGGAGGAAAAGAAACUAAAUAGGAUUCCCUUAGUAAUGGCGAAUGAACAGGGAUCAGCUCAGUAUGGAAAUCGGGGCUUCCCAGCCUUGAAUUGUAGUCUCAAGAGGUAUCGCCAACGGAGGCGCAGAUGUAAGCCUCUUGGAAAAGAGCAUCAAUGAGGGUGAGAAUCCCGUUUGUCAUCUGCAGUCCCCCGUGCACGGUGUAUCUUCUAAGAGUCGCGUUCCUCGGGAUUGGAGCGUAAAGUGGGUGGUAAAUUUCAUCUAAGGCUAAAUAUGGGUUCGAGACCGAUAGCAAACAAGUACCAUGAGGGAAAGAUGAAAAGGACUUUGAAAAGAGAGUUAAAAGUGCCUGAAAUUGCUGAAAGGGAAGCGAAUGGAACCAGUGCUCUUGGCGAGAUUGUUGCGCGCUAUGGUGAUUGCUGGCUGCUUCAGCGCAAGCGGGGUAGUUGGUACUGAGCCUGCCGCGCGCAGUGUUUCUUACCUUGUGCGUCACCGUCGGUUCACAGGCGAGGAUACUUCUGAGGACAUGGUAACUCUUCCACGGAGGUGUGAAUGUCUUCGGUAAUACUCGUUUGUAGACCGCUCACCUUCGGGUUACGAUGACUAAAUGGUUCUAUUCGACCCGUCUUGAA